rnacentral:lncRNA from 1 species
GGUUAGCCUGGAUGAUCUUAGUCAUCUUUUCCAACCUCUGCGAUUCCGUUAUGCUUAUUGUUUAAGUAAAGCCACAAGUCUAAUACAUUACAGUGAGUCUUUCAGCAGUUGCAAGUGAUGCAUUCCUCUACUCCUGCUCUCUGCCUCUAGUGUCUGGUAGUUUAUGCACAUCUUUAAUAUCUAUCUAUCUAUCUAUCUAUCUAUCUACCUACCUACCUACCUACCUGCCUAUAAUAAAUAAUGAAACAGCACAAAUCAACUGGAAAUGCAGCAGGAAUAGAAAUUAGCACAUGGAGGAGCUGGAUGGAAUGAAGCGAGAGUAGCUAAGUAGUUGCCAUGAGGACUAUAUUGCGAUCUGGUGGAAUAAUGCUUUUGUUUUUAUUUGUGUGGCACAGCCAAGGUUGUCUAGUAUUUUGCCAGAAAAGCCCCAUUUUUAUCCAGAACAACCUCACUGGGUGUCCAAGAAAUAUAUAGAUGUUAUACUGAUGUUAUAUAUAGAUGUUGUACUGAAGGAUGUAAGCAAUACUUGCGGUAGGUGAACAGUUGGAAUAGGUGGUCGUAGAGAUCUUUUUCCAACCUUAAUGAAUUUAUGAUUCCAUGAUUCUGUGAUUUUGUCAUCUCUCCUCCUACACCCCCAUAACUCUGCUCCCACCUGCCCCAUAUGGGAGUUACCUCCAGAGAUCAUCUUCUUGAUUUCACUGAGCUGAUCUGAUUUGCUAUGCAUGCAAAAUACCAUUUACUUGUGCUGGUGUGCUAGUUUUCUGCCAGUUCAGGGAAGCAAAAAAAAACUUGUGAUGGAGACCACUGGGCACAGGAUCUGGCAGAAACAAACCAGCAGCAGCUGGUGGGAGCAGGGCGGCACAUUCUCUGCCAUGGGGAGAUAUUACACUUUCCUCUCUGUCACUGAAAUAUGUUCUUAUUCUGCUUUAAACUAAUAAAUCAUUCGUAUAUCAUCUAUGUCCACU